GGUUAGCUGGUCUGAGAGGAUGAUCAGCCACACUGGAACUGACACACGGUCCAGACUCCUACGGGAGGCAGCAGUGAGGAAUUUUGCGCAAUGGGGGAAACCCUGACGCAGCAACGCCGCGUGAGUGAUGAAGGCUUUUGGGUCGUAAAGCUCUGUCAAGUGGGAAGAAACCACGAGGUGAUAAUAUCGCUUUGUGCUGACGGUACCACUGAAGGAAGCACCGGCUAACUCCGUGCCAGCAGCCGCGGUAAUACGGGGGGUGCAAGCGUUAUUCGGAAUCAUUGGGCGUAAAGGGCGCGUAGGCGGUUUGUUAAGUCAGAUGUGAAAGCCCGGGGCUCAACCCCGGAAGUGCAUUUGAUACUGGCGGACUUGAGUAUGGGAGAGGGAAGUGGAAUUCCUGGUGUAGAGGUGAAAUUCGUAGAUAUCAGGAGGAACACCGGUGGCGAAGGCGACUUCCUGGACCAAUACUGACGCUGAGGCGCGAAGGCGUGGGUAGCAAACAGGAUUAGAUACCCUGGUAGUCCACGCAGUAAACGGUGAUCACUAGGUGUAGCGGGUAUUGACCCCUGCUGUGCCGCAGUUAACGCAUUAAGUGAUCCGCCUGGGGAGUACGGCCGCAAGGUUAAAACUCAAAGGAAUUGACGGGGGCCCGCACAAGCGGUGUAGCAUGUGGUUUAAUUCGACGCAACGCGAAGAACCUUACCUGGGUUUGACAUCUCGGGGAUUUUUUGGAAACAAGAAAGUGCCCUUCGGGGAGCCCGAAGACAGGUGCUGCAUGGCUGUCGUCAGCUCGUGUCGUGAGAUGUUGGGUUAAGUCCCGCAACGAGCGCAACCCUUAUCUUUAGUUACCAUCACUUCGGGUGGGGACUCUAAAGAUACUGCCCCGGUCAACGGGGAGGAAGGUGGGGAUGACGUCAAGUCCUCAUGGCCUUUAUGCCCAGGGCUACACACGUGCUACAAUGGGCGAUACAAAGGGUAGCGAGCCUGCGAAGGUGAGCCAAUCCCAAAAAGUCGUUCUUAGUUCGGAUUGGAGUCUGCAACUCGACUCCAUGAAGCUGGAAUCGCUAGUAAUCGCGGAUCAGCACGCCGCGGUGAAUACGUUCCCGGGCCUUGUACACACCGCCCGUCACACCAUGAGAGUUGGUUGUACCAGAAGUUGUUGGGCUAACCCGCAAGGGAGGCAGGCACCUAAGGUAUGGCUGAUGAUUGGGGUGAAGUCGUAACAAGGUA
rnacentral:rRNA from 1 species